AACGCUACUCUUGCUCUGAGGAAGGUCCUUGCAAAAUGUUGUCUCUUACUGAGUCCUCCACUUCCAUUACUAUCUCGAUAUUGUCUGUUAUCAGCUUCGCUGUUAUGCUGCUCAUAUAAUCCAGUGGCACACCAUGCAUUUGCACCCAAAAAUCUAUGAAUAUGUGCUCUACUUCAUAUAUUGACUCGUUCUAUCUCUAAGUUGUUCACCUCCAUAGUUUGCCAUCGUUGUCGAUAUUCCCAGCGUGUGCCUGAUUUACGUGGUAUAUAGGUAAGUUUAUGUAUUUUGAGCUAGUUGAUCGAUGAGCUAGUGAAAGUGUAUUAAUAUAUGGAGUCGUUGUGUCA